UCGAGCCCAGCCCAGCCCAGCGACGACGCCAAUGAGGCUGAGCCCAGCCAUCGACUCCUCUCCUCCCAUACCCAUCGGCUCUCUCUCCCUCACCACAAGAUCCUUUCUCCCUCUCUCCCCUUGCCACCCCCAUACCCAUUCAUUUUUCCUCACCAUACCCAUACCCAUACCCAUUUCGAUUUUGCUUGAGUGAUUCAGAAAUUGUUGAUGCUAAGCCUCUUGUGCUUUCAAGAGGAACAUUGCAGACUGCUGAUUCAAAGGAACCAUUUGCAAGAAAAUGAGUUGGAGCAGCCUAACCUUGAAAAAGGUCUAAAGACGGGUACAAGUGUUGUUCA